ensembl:lncRNA
UACUCCGGUGGGGGCAGCCAAACCGUCUGGGAUAGAACUGCUAUGCUUGCCAAUAGAGCUGGACAUUCUUCAGCUUUGAUAACACCUGAUCUAUGUGUCAAUAUUUUACCUCUACUGUAAGUGUUAAUUGCCUCUAAGAUGUGAAAUGAUCUCAUAGUGGGUUCCUCGAAAUUGUUCAGCCCACCAGGAUGAUACUAAACGUUUGUGAUCUAAUAGCCUGUGUUAUUGUUUUAUAAUCCCAUUUUAUUUAUGAUUUUUUUUUCCAUUAUUAUUAUUAUAUAUUGUCUCCAUGUUAUGCAACUCAAAUUUAAAAUUGAAGUUUCUAGAUAGUUGGUACAAACAGAAAAACAAAACGGGAAGAAUAUGAUUAAUUGAGUGUUCUUAAGAGCUCAUGGUAAGGAUGUCAGACUGUGAACAGAAAGGGAAAGGUUACAUUUAUCUUGACCAGGAGGGGGCAGUGCAGAGCAGAUGACGUCCAGCUUGUCUUAUUGGUUCUCUUUUCAGUCAUCAGAAGGUGCUCAAAGGACAGAGUGAUUUAAGAGUGAAAACAGUCAAUAGAUUUCUGUCUCUAAGACCACUACUUUGAUUGACUGAUUGUGAAACUGCAGUGUUUUUUCCUAAAAAUAAAGGCUCUUUAUUGGCAUUGACGUUACUAUGAAGAACCUUGUACAUUUAUGGAACCUUUCCAGGUUCUUUGUAAUGAAAAAGUGUUUUUAUUUAUUUAUUUAUUUAUUUAUUUAUUUUUACCAGCUGCUGUGUAUUUGAUGUAUCUGUAUUGGUGGGAUCAGACACUAGUGAGACUUGGUAGUUUACAGAGCCUAAUUUCUUAACCAUUUUAGCAGGGCCUUUCCAAAACCAUCAUCUGCUUUCACAACCAAACUACAUCUCUGAUCUGGAACUGCAUCUACUGGUUUUGCUGGUUGUAAUUUUUUUAUGUUUGGCUUAGGUUCGUGCAACAUUCUCCUUUACCAAUUUGAUGAGGUCUUUCUGAUGUUCCAAGGAGGGGUGGACAGAGCUGCUAGGGUCAAGAGGUGGUUGCAAAGCUCUUUCCAAUGGUCCUUUCAGUUUCCGUCCUAAAGCGACCUCGGCUGGAGUGAACACAGUGCUUUCAUGUCAGGCUGAAUUUAUGGCGAACCUAAAUUCGGCAAACCACAUGUCCAAUUGGCUAUGAUGCUUUUCCACAUAAAAAAAAAGUGAUCAUGAAUUUCAAAUUUCUACUCACUCUACACAUUAGUCUGGGGAUGGUAGGGAGUGGUUUACUUUUGAACAACUCCCCACUGUUUGCAUACUAGACUGAUUAGCUGAGAGGUAAUUUGAGUUCCUCUGUUUGACACAAGAUAUCCAGGAGUUCUAGUGAAGAUUUCCUUCAUUAGUAUUUUGCCAAUGUGAGGUGUCUUGGCUGCCCUCAAAGGGAACAACUCUACCCACUUCGAGCAAUAAUUUACCACCACAAGCAGAUAUUCAUUUUGUUUGAUACUCUUGGGGAAAGGACCCAUGAGAUCAACCCCGAGCAUGUAUAUUGGUUCUACAAUUGGAGUGCUCUGCAACAGACCACACAGCUUUUCCUGAGAAGGCUUGAAUUUUUGGCUGGUGUGGCAGUUCUUUCAAU